CGGAGAGUUUGAUCCUGGCUCACGAUGAACGCUGGCGGCGUGCUUAACACAUGCAAGUCGAACGAUGAAGCCCAGCUUGCUGGGUGGAUUAGUGGCGAACGGGUGAGUAACACGUGAGUAACCUGCCCCCGACUCUGGGAUAAGCCCGGGAAACUGGGUCUAAUACCGGAUAUGACCAUGGAACGCAUGUUUUGUGGUGGAAAGAUUUAUCGGUGGGGGAUGGACUCGCGGCCUAUCAGCUUGUUGGUGAGGUAAUGGCUCACCAAGGCGACGACGGGUAGCCGGCCUGAGAGGGUGACCGGCCACACUGGGACUGAGACACGGCCCAGACUCCUACGGGAGGCAGCAGUGGGGAAUAUUGCACAAUGGGCGCAAGCCUGAUGCAGCGACGCCGCGUGAGGGAUGACGGCCUUCGGGUUGUAAACCUCUUUCAGUAGGGAAGAAGCGAAAGUGACGGUACCUGCAGAAGAAGCGCCGGCUAACUACGUGCCAGCAGCCGCGGUAAUACGUAGGGCGCAAGCGUUAUCCGGAUUUAUUGGGCGUAAAGAGCUCGUAGGCGGUUUGUCGCGUCUGCCGUGAAAGUCCGAGGCUCAACCUCGGAUCUGCGGUGGGUACGGGCAGACUAGAGUGAUGUAGGGGAGACUGGAAUUCCUGGUGUAGCGGUGAAAUGCGCAGAUAUCAGGAGGAACACCGAUGGCGAAGGCAGGUCUCUGGGCAUUUACUGACGCUGAGGAGCGAAAGCAUGGGGAGCGAACAGGAUUAGAUACCCUGGUAGUCCAUGCCGUAAACGUUGGGCACUAGGUGUGGGGGACAUUCCACGUUUUCCGCGCCGUAGCUAACGCAUUAAGUGCCCCGCCUGGGGAGUACGGCCGCAAGGCUAAAACUCAAAGGAAUUGACGGGGGCCCGCACAAGCGGCGGAGCAUGCGGAUUAAUUCGAUGCAACGCGAAGAACCUUACCAAGGCUUGACAUGUGCAGACCGCUCCAGAGAUGGGGUUUCCCUUCGGGGCUGGUUCACAGGUGGUGCAUGGUUGUCGUCAGCUCGUGUCGUGAGAUGUUGGGUUAAGUCCCGCAACGAGCGCAACCCUCGUUCCAUGUUGCCAGCACGUAGUGGUGGGGACUCAUGGGAGACUGCCGGGGUCAGCUCGGAGGAAGGUGGGGAUGACGUCAAAUCAUCAUGCCCCUUAUGUCUUGGGCUUCACGCAUGCUACAAUGGCCGGUACAAUGGGUUGCGAUACUGUGAGGUGGAGCUAAUCCCUAAAAGCCGGUCUCAGUUCGGAUUGGGGUCUGCAACUCGACCCCAUGAAGUCGGAGUCGCUAGUAAUCGCAGAUCAGCAACGCUGCGGUGAAUACGUUCCCGGGCCUUGUACACACCGCCCGUCAAGUCACGAAAGUUGGUAACACCCGAAGCCGAUGGCCUAACCACCUUGUGUGGGGGGAGUCGUCGAAGGUGGGACUGGCGAUUGGGACUAAGUCGUAACAAGGUAGCCGUACCGGAGGGUGCGGCUGGAUCACCUCCUUU
rnacentral:rRNA from 1 species